GAUGAACGCUAGCGGCAGGCUUAACACAUGCAAGUCGAGGGGUAUAGUUCUUCGGAAUUAGAGACCGGCGCACGGGUGCGUAACGCGUAUGCAAUCUACCUUUCACAGAGGGAUAGCCCCAGAGAAAUUUGGAUUAAUACCUCAUAGUAUAGCAGUUUUGCAUGAAACCACUAUUAAAGUCACAACGGUGAAAGAUGAGCAUGCGUCCCAUUAGCUAGUUGGUAAGGUAACGGCUUACCAAGGCAACGAUGGGUAGGGGUCCUGAGAGGGAGAUCCCCCACACUGGUACUGAGACACGGACCAGACUCCUACGGGAGGCAGCAGUGAGGAAUAUUGGACAAUGGGCGCAAGCCUGAUCCAGCCAUGCCGCGUGCAGGAUGACGGUCCUAUGGAUUGUAAACUGCUUUUAUACAGGAAGAAACACUACUUCGUGAAGUAGCUUGACGGUACUGUAAGAAUAAGGAUCGGCUAACUCCGUGCCAGCAG
rnacentral:rRNA from 1 species